rnacentral:rRNA from 1 species
GUAGGGAAUCUUGCGCAAUGGGCGAAAGCCUGACGCAGCCAUGCCGCGUGAAUGAUGAAGGUCUUAGGAUUGUAAAAUUCUUUCACCGGGGACGAUAAUGACGGUACCCGGAGAAGAAGCCCCGGCUAACUUCGUGCCAGCAGCCGCGGUAAUACGAAGGGGGCUAGCGUUGCUCGGAAUUACUGGGCGUAAAGGGAGCGUAGGCGGAUAGUUUAGUCAGAGGUGAAAGCCCAGGGCUCAACCUUGUAAUUGCCUUUGAUACUGGCUAUCUUGAGUAUGGAAGAGGUAUGUGGAACUCCGAGUGUAGAGGUGAAAUUCGUAGAUAUUCGGAAGAACACCAGUGGCGAAGGCGACAUACUGGUCCAUUACUGACGCUGAGGCUCGAAAGCGUGGGGAGCAAACAGGAUUAGAAACCCUGGUAGUCC